rnacentral:rRNA from 1 species
CCUACGGGUGGCAGCAGUGAGGAAUAUUGGUCAAUGGACGAGAGUCUGAACCCGCCAAGUCGCGUGAAGGAUGACUGCCCAAUGGGUUGUAAACUUCUUUUAUCUGGGAAUAAAAUGUUCACCGCGUGGGAUUUUGUAUGUACCAUAUGACUAAGGAUCGGCUAACUCCGUGCCAGCAGCCGCGGUAAUACGGAGGAUCCGCGCGUUAUCCGGAUUUAUUGGGUUUAAAGGGAGCGUAGGUGGAGUUUUAAGUCAGUUGUGAAAGUUGGAGGCUCAACCGGAAAAGUGCAGUUGAAACGGGCAGUCUUGAGUACAGCAGAGGUGUGCGGAAUUCGUGGUGUAGCGGUGAAAUGCUUAGAUAUCACGAAGAACUCCGAUUGCGAAGGCAGCGCACUGGACUGCAACUGACACUGAGGCACGAAAGUGUGGGUAUCAAACAGGAUUAGAUACCCCUGUAGUC